rnacentral:rRNA from 1 species
GACGAACGCUGGCGGCGCGCCUAACACAUGCAAGUCGAACGAGCGAGAGAGAGCUUACUUUCUCGAGCGAGUGGCGAACGGGUGAGUAACGCGUGAGGAACCUGCCUCAAAGAGGGGGACAACAGUUGGAAACGACUGCUAAUACCGCAUAAGCCCACGGCUCGGCAUCGAGCAGAGGGAAAAGGAGCAAUCCGCUUUGAGAUGGCCUCGCGUCCGAUUAGCUAGUUGGUGAGGUAACGGCCCACCAAGGCGACGAUCGGUAGCCGGACUGAGAGGUUGAACGGCCACAUUGGGACUGAGACACGGCCCAGACUCCUACGGGAGGCAGCAGUGGGGAAUAUUGCACAGUGGGGGAAACCCUGAUGCAGCGACGCCGCGUGGAGGAAGAAGGUCUUCGGAUUGUAAACUCCUGUUGUUGAGGAAGAUAAUGACGGUACUCAACAAGGAAGUGACGGCUAACUACGUGCCAGCAGCCGCGGUAAAACGUAGGUCACAAGCGUUGUCCGGAAUUACUGGGUGUAAAGGGAGCGCAGGCGGGAAGACAAGUUGGAAGUGAAAUCCAUGGGCUCAACCCAUGAACUGCUUUCAAAACUGUUUUUCUUGAGUAGUGCAGAGGUAGGCGGAAUUCCCGGUGUAGCGGUGGAAUGCGUAGAUAUCGGGAGGAACACCAGUGGCGAAGGCGGCCUACUGGGCACCAACUGACGCUGAGGCUCGAAAGUGUGGGUAGCAAACAGGAUUAGAUACCCUGGUAGUCCACACUGUAAACGAUGAUUACUAGGUGUUGGAGGAUUGACCCCUUCAGUGCCGCAGUUAACACAAUAAGUAAUCCACCUGGGGAGUACGACCGCAAGGUUGAAACUCAAAGGAAUUGACGGGGGCCCGCACAAGCAGUGGAGUAUGUGGUUUAAUUCGACGCAACGCGAAGAACCUUACCAAGUCUUGACAUCCUGCGACGCACAUAGAAAUAUGUGUUUCCUUCGGGACGCAGAGACAGGUGGUGCAUGGUUGUCGUCAGCUCGUGUCGUGAGAUGUUGGGUUAAGUCCCGCAACGAGCGCAACCCUUAUGGUCAGUUACUACGCAAGAGGACUCUGGCCAGACUGCCGUUGACAAAACGGAGGAAGGUGGGGAUGACGUCAAAUCAUCAUGCCCUUUAUGACUUGGGCUACACACGUACUACAAUGGCGUUAAACAAAGAGAAGCAAGACCGCGAGGUGGAGCAAAACUCAGAAACAACGUCCCAGUUCGGACUGCAGGCUGCAACUCGCCUGCACGAAGUCGGAAUUGCUAGUAAUCGCAGAUCAGCAUGCUGCGGUGAAUACGUUCCCGGGCCU